rnacentral:rRNA from 1 species
UACUAUAGCUUGACACUGAACAUUGAGCCUUGAUGUGUAGGAUAGGUGGGAGGCUUUGAAGUGUGGACGCCAGUCUGCAUGGAGCCGACCUUGAAAUACCACCCUUUAAUGUUUGAUGUUCUAACGUUGACCCGUAAUCCGGGUUGCGGACAGUGUCUGGUGGGUAGUUUGACUGGGGCGGUCUCCUCCUAAAGAGUAACGGAGGAGCACGAAGGUUGGCU